UACGUAGGGGGCAAGCGUUGUUCGGAAUUACUGGGCGUAAAGGGCGCGUAGGCGGCACGGCAAGUCAGGAGUGAAAGCCCUGGGCUCAACCCAGAAACUGCUUUUGAAACUGCCGAGCUAGAGUGCGGAAGGGGCAACUGGAAUUCCCAGUGUAGCGGUGAAAUGCGUAGAUAUUGGGAAGAACACCUGAGGCGAAGGCGGGUUGCUGGGCCGACACUGACGCUGAGUGCGCGAAAGCCAGGGGAGCGAACAGG
rnacentral:rRNA from 1 species